AGUGAACGCUGGCGGUAGGCCUAACACAUGCAAGUCGAACGGCAGCACAGUAAGAGCUUGCUCUUACGGGUGGCGAGUGGCGGACGGGUGAGGAAUACAUCGGAAUCUACUUUUUCGUGGGGGAUAACGUAGGGAAACUUACGCUAAUACCGCAUACGACCUACGGGUGAAAGCAGGGGAUCUUCGGACCUUGCGCGUUUGUAUGAGCCGAUGUCGGAUUAGCUAGUUGGCGGGGUAAAGGCCCACCAAGGCGACGAUCCGUAGCUGGUCUGAGAGGAUGAUCAGCCACACUGGAACUGAGACACGGUCCAGACUCCUACGGGAGGCAGCAGUGGGGAAUAUUGGACAAUGGGCGCAAGCCUGAUCCAGCCAUACCGCGUGGGUGAAGAAGGCCUUCGGGUUGUAAAGCCCUUUUGUUGGGAAAGAAAAGCAGCAGGUUAAUACCCCGCUGUUCUGACGGUACCCAAAGAAUAAGCACCGGCUAACUUCGUG
rnacentral:rRNA from 1 species